UAUCAGAGCAAAGAGCCAGUGUUUCCUGGAAACCUCCGACCUUCUCAGCAGCUGCUUCCCCCAGUGAAGCUGUGAGAGGAGAACGGUGACAGGCGUCAGGACUGGACAGAAAGACAGAGAGAGAGAACAGUCGGCCAAUCAGAGCAGCCAGAAGCUCGUUGUGAUCAUGUGUCUGAGUGGAUGUGAAGACGACUGUUGUUGUUGAGUUGAUGUCUACAGGAAGUGAAGCUGAUUACAGCUGACAGCCUCACAGAGGAACAGAGACAGUGUCCUCAUUCAUCAAACUGUCACAUCUGAUCUGAGACAGUUUGUUCUCUCAUUUCACAACUCAAGACCUGAUCAGUUUGAUCUCUGUCACAGCUCUGAGAUCAGUCUGAUGUCUGACAGUCACUGGCUCUUAUUCCACAGAAGCAUCAUUACACUCUGUAACCAUGUGAUCUUUAUACAGACCAGAAGCUCUGCUGAAGUCCAGUGAGCACAUCUGUAUAUCUGUCCCUCUGCCAGAUGUUUUCAGUGACAGCCUCCAUGUUUAUCUGUCAGGUGAUGUGUGAGGAACAGACCAGACGUUCAUCAACACACAGAGACUCUGUGUUUAAAUGUCAGGACAGUGAAUCCAUCACUGAGCUGUUGGAGCAGUGAUGAACCUUCAUGACUCAGCAGUUUGUUUCCACUGUGGACUGAGGGAAAUGUGCAGAGUCAACAGACUUGAUGCUAAAAGUCUCUGCAGCUGGAGGUGAAGAGGAGUGUGUGUGUGUGUGUGUGUGUGUGUGUGUGUGUGUGUGUGUGUGUGUGUGUGUGUGUGUGUGUGUCCUGAUGAUCCAGAUGUUGAAGCAGCAGCUGGUGUGUAGAGGCUCUGACUGGACCAUGUUACUGGGAGGUGGAGUGGAGAGGAGAGCUUCAUCCAGUGACUGACAGAGGAAUCAGAAGAAGUGGAGAUGACUCUCAGUGCUGCAGUCUGAACUGAUCUGAGAACAGCUCCACUGUCACACACAGAGUCCAGUCCACCAUCAUCCCUGUGUGUUCCUCUGGACCUGACAGACCAUCCUCAGUGUCUCUGGACUCAUUUGAUUCUUGAGCACAAGCUGGAAAUGAUUGGUCUCUGUGAAACAUGGUUUAAACCAAAUGAUAACCAAAUUCUAUGUUUCUGGCCUGGUCCUCACCUGGUUAAAGUCCUACUUAUCUGACAGAACACAGCGCGUCUCCUAUAAUAACACUAUAUUGACAUACCUUGCUGUGAAACAUGGAGUACCCCAGGGCUCUGUUCUUGGCCCUCUGCUUUUCUCUCUCUAUAUUUCUCCUUAAGUCAAAUUAAUCACAGUUAUGGAAUUAAUUUCCAUUGUUAUGAUGAUGAGAUGUUGUCAUCAAACACAUACAACAGAUGUAUGUUGUAUAUGUAUGAUUCCUCUCAGAUUAUAAAUCUAGAGAUCUGUUUGUCUGCCGUGAAAAGCUGGAUGUCUCAUAAGUUUUUGCUCCUAAAUUCUGACAAAACCAAGAUGCUGGUCGUUGGCCCGACUCGACAUAGACACCAGUUUGAUCAAUCAACAUUAACUCUUUUUUUUUUAAAGUAUAUUUUUUUGGGCUUUUUUUUAUGCCUUUAUUUGAUAGUAUAGUGGAGAGUGACAGGAAACAGGGAGGCAGAGAGGGGGAAUGACAUGCAGCGAAAGGCCGUCCGAUGCGGAAUUCGAACCGGGGCCAACUGCAGCGAGGACUGUAGCCUCUACACAUGGGGCGCCUGCUUAGACCACUACGCUACACGACGCCCCAAUUAACAUUAACUCUUGAUAACUGUGUUAUUUCUCAUAGUCUGACAGUCAAAAAUCUGGGUGUCCCUUUCGAUUCUUCCCUCUCCUUUGAUCAGCACAUUAAAGAUGAUAUCUCUAUGAUAUCCAAGACCGCCUUUUUUCAUCUACGUAACAUAGCUAGGAUUGGGUCUUUUUCUAUCUAAGACUGAUGCUGAAAUCUUAAUUCAUGCUUUCGUUUCAUCAAGACUCGAUUAUUGUAACGUUUAGACGUUUAGAGCAGUUAGCUUCCUAUUCUUUCACAAACUCAGGCUCUGUACCUAUUGCCAACCUACCACCGGCGGGGGGGCCUCAGUCUCAAUAAACCAGUAAACUCAGUACAGUAUAGUCCAGGUUGUUCUGCUGACGAGAUCACUGUAAACUUUGUGAUUAUCACUGCAUCAUUCAAACUGUUUAUUUUUUCCCUCAAGCACAUGAAGCACCCAGGCUGUGUGCCUCUCUCUCUCCCUUCCCCUUCUCUAUCUCCUUCCUGUUACUCCCUGCAGCUCCUCCCGCCUCCAAAGCUGCAGCUGUAGAGUCUGGACCUGCAACUGCAAACCACCUACUGCCCCAUGAUCCUGUUUAACACCUGCUGCUAAACCUGCUCAAAUUUACUAUAAUUAACAAUGAUUGUUAUUAAUGUUAUUAGCCGUUGUUACGUGCACCCUGGUUGUGUGGUGUCCUGUCCUCUCUCGCUGCUACUCAUGUCUCCCAGUUCCCUCUGCCUGGUGCACACCUGGGAGCACACCUGGGUGCAAUCAGCACUCAGGGACAGAGGGAGGGGAUAAGAGGGGCGGAGAGUACAGAGACUGGGGGGAGGAGUCACAGACAGCUGUACCUGGGUGAGGGUUCUUUGUCCUCUCUUCCUUCUCCAAGCAGGGAUCGUUCCUCCACGCACAGUUAGGUGCGGUGGGGUUUUAUUAUUUUAGUUUAUGUUAUUUCAGGCAGGAGAUUACGGGCAGUCAUGUUAUUCGUCUUUUGUUUUAGGUUAAGUUGGGUUUAGGUAGUCUAGGAGGAAGUGCUGGGAGCGACGGCCCACUGCGUGGUUGGCCCAGCGUUUUCCUGUCUUUUGUUUAUUUCGGCCGGGGUCACCGGUCCUUUUUGUUUCUUUUGGUUUAGGAUGAUAAAAAUAUUUAUUUUGAUAUAUUUUGGGGGUAUUUCAAUAAAGCUUGGGUGAAAAGUUA